rnacentral:sRNA from 2 species
GUUUAACGCGAGCCGAAACAACCAAUCGUGCGGGGGAGAUUUAUGGUAAAACGCAGCAUGACGCUGCGUUGUUCCUCGGGGUGAAUCGCAUUAAGCAAGCAAUAGCUGCAGACGCGUAGGGUGACUCCUUCAUCCGAAUCCGACAACUAACCUCGUAGGCCAAACACAAGGAGGAA